UGGGGGAUAUUGCACAAUGGGCGAAAGCCUGAUGCAGCGACGCCGCGUGGGGGAUGAAGGCCUUCGGGUUGUAAACUUCUUUUGCUCUGAACAAGGCGCACCAUGGGGUGUGUUGAGUGUAGGGGUUGAUUAGCGCCGGCUAACUCCGUGCCAGCAGCCGCGGUAAUACGUAGGGCGCGAGCGUUGUCCGGAAUUAUUGGGCGUAAAGGGCUUGUAGGUGGCUGGUUGCGUCUGUCGUGAAAGCUCAUGGCUUAACUGUGGGUUUGCGGUGGGUACGGGCUGGCUUGAGUGCAGUAGGGGAGGCUGGAAUUCCUGGUGUAGCGGUGGAAUGCGCAGAUAUCAGGAGGAAUACCGGUGGCGGAGGAGGGUCUCUGGGCGGUUACUGACACUGAGGAGCGAAAGCAUGGGGAGCGAACAGG
rnacentral:rRNA from 1 species